AAGCUCAAUAAAAAGAAAUAAACAAAAAAGUCACUAAUAGCAACUACAAUUCGGUCAAAAUUUAUAUAUAGGCUCCCAAUUUUCAAAAUUUCAGCAACUUUAAAAGAAGAAAGCAACCAUUAUGUCACCGAAGGCGAGAAUAUGCAAAGUGCUUAAUGCCAAAAGCUCUGGAACCACAAGCGGAGUAUUGGUGGAAUAUUUGAGGCAGACACUUAUAAAAGUUUCAGCAGCGCGGAAUGCAUUGGAAUGUAUGUAUACUCACAGUAGAACGGACAAUCGCCACAGCAGAAUUAGUUCGAGGAUUAUGCAAAGCUGGUCAACAUUUUCAGUCAAAAUAUAAACAAUGUCUUAAAAGCACAAAAAUUAUAUUUAUUUGACGAUCGACUUCAGACAAAUGGAAAAUAAUAUAAGCUAAUUACAGGACAUUAUCAACAUAGCAGUCCAUAGAGAACAGUGAAUAAUAGAAACCAGUUUUGAAUAUGCAAAUACGUUACAAGGGAGGCGUAAAUGGAUUUCAAAAUAGAAGCGUUAAUUCAAUUUUAUGUCCACUUGUAAAUCAUAAACACACUAUUUUCGUUAAAUUUUUUGGACAUUUGACAUUUAAUAGCUAAUUAAAAAUAAAUGAAACAGGGUGCCUGGUGGAGAAAAAGAUUUUUCUGCUUAAAAUUAUCUCAAAUUCGAAAACCCAAAAA